rnacentral:lncRNA from 1 species
AUGGAACAUCAACCAAACUCAACCUGCAUAAACAUAAACAUAAUCUUGAUCCCUCUGUGGGAUCUCAUCUGUACCCUCAAUGGGUGACAUACAUCUGUUGAGUCGGUUUACAUAAACAUCAUCAAAAUCUCUAAGAUCAUGUAUAAAAGGGAUACAACAUUCUAUGGUCAAGCACACACUAAUCAUCCAUAAACCUCAUUACAUAACUAUACUGUACUUUCACAUUACAAUUUGAUCAUGUCCAUUGCUAGCUAUUACAUAAGCAU